AAAGAGAGAGAGAGAGAAAGAGAGUACUGUGAGAGAGAGAAUGUGAUUAAAAAAAAAAUAGAGGGUAUUCUGUGGCUUUGGAUUCUUCUAGCAAAUCGUGCCUGCCAGCUUCUGUUGGACUGGGGGGGUGGGGGUAUGGCUAAAUAAGUAUAGAAUGAAAAAAUCUUUUUACUGAAAAUUUGAAAGAAAAAAAAAAUAUAAAGAAGGGAUAGCUGCAAGCCAUCAAGCCAAGGCCUUUGUCUAGUUGUCUUGGUUUGUCGGUGAGGCUUGACAGGGAGAGUUUUAGGAGCUGAUGAUGGAGAUUUGGAGGAGGGGACACCUGUUUGUGACAGUGAUAUUCUGCAUUCUGAGAUGCAUCAAUGGUGAGACAGAUCCAAAUGAUGAUCUCUCUCUCUCUCUAUCUCUUUCAUUUGUGUUUUUGAGUGGAGCGUACUUGCGCUGCUAUAAGACGCAGAUUGGGGUUAAAAAUGAGAAGAUCAGUUCUGGGUUGGGAAAAAUUCCUUUUUCCCUUUUAAAUGAUGCAAUUUCCAGUAUAAGACAGUACGAUUGAAUAUUGAUGGGAAUUUUUCGGUAUCCAAAAAAUAUCAAUGCAAAUUGUCUGCAAUUACUGAUGGGUGCUUCCCCUUGGAUGUCUGUCAUUUAAGACUGGAAAUUGUGUGCGUAUGUGUGUAUGUGUGAGAGAGAGGUGGGUGUGGUUUAUGAUAACCCUGUCUUGAGUCUUGAUUUACCCUUUAUCAGUUGAAUAGGCACGGCUUAGUAAAUCAAGUGUGAUGCCAAGAGACAGAAUGUUUGUUUGGAAAACUUAUCUUCUUGGCAUCUUUAUGUUUCAUAUCCAACUAAUUGUAACAGUUUGUUCCCACCUCUCGUGUUAGUUGUGCAAUUGCCUGGAUCUUUAUUGCAUCUUUGUGGAUUGAAGGGGCUGUAAUUAGGUGGAAACACCGAGUUAGUAAUCCAAACAAGGUGUUGGCUACAAGUUAAUAUAUGUGAUUAUAUUCAUUGAACAUGAAUAUUGACUCUAUUUUGGGUUCUUGGGGCUUCAAUAGCAGUCACUGUUUCAUUAAACCUGGAAUUACACAUUGACUUGUCAUGUUAGAGACCAAAUUAAGAGUUGAUGGAAAUCAACAGAAUUAUGCAUAAUUUCAAGAUUCUUCACACACUUGAGGAGAUGGCUGUGCUGCAUUUGCCCUCCACAUGCUAAAUUGCACAUGACUGCUGAUCAUUAUGUUUCGUGAAUAAGUAAACGU
rnacentral:misc_RNA from 1 species